rnacentral:misc_RNA from 1 species
GGAAGAGAAGAAAGUUGAAUUCGUAAGUGGGUUUUUGUUGCUGUUAACUUUCAAGUGAGAAAAUUUUCAUUUGUUUUCUUGCUUGCUUGUAUUUCAGUUUGCUUGCUGUUAGGGUUCGGUGAUUUUUUUUAAAGGUUUGACAGAUUUUAUCUCUGGGUUUUAGUAUGAUUCAAUGCAUUUUGUCGAUUUAAGUUGGCGUUGAAGCUUGAAUUAUGGGAAAUUGAGAUCGAAAUCAUUUUGAUGGGUGUUUUCAAAUGGGUUGGGUGCCGUAUGUAAAUGAUGCUUUGGAUUUCAAAGAGGGAGUUGAAAAAUGGCUGAUGAAUUUGAAAUUUUGAACAUCGAAUGCUUUAAUCUUCCUUGGGUUUUGCUCGAAUUUGUUAUAUGUUUAAUUCUAUUAUUAUUAUUAUUAUUA